AAAAGAAAAAAAAAGCCCUUAAACUGUUAUUCAUUUACUCAUAUAAAGCAUUAAGAAAUCUUCUGUUUUGUGGAUUUUCUCAAAUUUCUUGUAGUUUAUUUAGAGGGGAAAAAAAGAGGGACAACUCAAGUGAACAACCUCUUUUAAAAGGUGAACAAACUCUACCAGUUAAAUUCAAUACAUUGGGUGCGACUCACUACAUAUUUACAAUUUCCUGACUCGUUUUCAUAGCUGUGCAUCAUGAAUUUGUCACAGGAUAUGAUGUGAACAACGUUUCUUGAAAAUGAUCUUUUAUCAUUCAAAUGUCAAUACUUCUCAAUAGCUGGUUAGGAGAAAUAUUUGCAUAAUAUUAUGAAGGAAAUAAAGUUUAUAGUAGUAUUAAAGGACAAAAGGAAAUUUUUGUUUGCAUUUAUUUCAGCUAUGAAGAACUCUAUAUUAAUAACAUGAACCUGAAAAGCAGGAAGAGUAUCUUCAGAAGCCAGGAAAUUACAAAGUGAAGAUCUAGUUGCUCUAGUCUGGCACAGUGAGAUUAAUAACAAACAAAAAUAUAGUUUUGUAUUAAAGAUGUUUAUCAUGGACCAAAUAAGCCAAAGCCCCAAAGUCUGUCAAGCAGUACCUAACACAGAUUUAAAAUUUAUAAAAAAAUAUAAAACAGACUAACAUCUGAAUGUCAGCUUUUAGCCAUUUUCUUGAUAUAAAAAUUAUCAAAUUAAGCCUGAGUCAGUCUUGUAGACUCAGUACAGGUUAACUGUGAUAGGUAAAUGCUCUGAGUUUCACUUGUGGAUCUUAGAUGCUGAAAUUGCUUUAAAGCUGAAUUUUCCAGUUCCCAAAGGUGCUAAUUCUGCUGAAUUUGACAUGGACAGAAGCUACAUUCCAGCUUGCAGUGCCACUCCAAUAGCUGCUAUAGUGCAGCAGUCACGAAGGCAAAGUAUAGCACCUAUACUGCUACAGAUUGUAGGAUGCUACCUAGCUCUAUCUAAUUGGACAGCUUUUCCUACCAUCUCCCUGGGUUCUUGAAUAUAGGGAAAGGGUUUAAAAUAGUGCUUUAUGUUCUCACAGACAUCCAUAACAAUCUGGCAAAUAGUUUUUCUGCCCUUGUGGUCUUCAAUGGUCACUUACGGACUUGGUAACUGCCUCAGGUAAUGCAAAAGAACUCAAAAUUCUAGAAUAUAUUAAAGCUGGAUAUGAAAGAAAUUCUGAAUUGUUUUCAACAUACCCUAAAGUACUGUAUCUGCUUGACUUUGUUUUCCAUAUUGUCUUCAGUGAGCAUUUUACCUAAAACGUAAGCAUCUUUUUCUGCAACAAUUGGGGUGGGGGUGGAGGGGGAUCACUGAUCUCAUAACAACUAACAAAUGCCGGUUUGUGCCUCAUAAGAUUAUUUACAGUUCUGCUGUUGACAUAACGGCUGCAGCAACAGGCAGAACCAGAAUAAGAGCUCUUACUUCAUCCCCUAAUUGGCAAACUUCCACCUAGCUUGACACUUCAUUGCACUUCUGGAGUGAGCCCUGUGAAACUACUGGAAGAGAAGAAUACCAAAAGAAGACUUGACAAAAUGCAGUCAUCCAACCUUGACAGAACAACCUUGACCGAACAAACAUUUCCUGCUUAAGUUUUUCAGCACAAUGCCAGAGGAAUUUAUUUUUUAGUGUCUUGAUCAUAAUCUUUUCCAAAUCUUUAAACUUCUGCCUGUGGGGUUCCUUCUGUGGUGUAGUUUGAACAAUCUCUUGUAUUCCUGUGGUCUGAUAAAGAAUGUGGUUUAAAAAGAGGCAGAAAACUCUAGUAGUACCCCCAAGUAGUCCAGAUGGCAGAAGAAACCAGUAGGCAUACAACAGUGGCAAAACUAAUCUGAAAUCCCAGCUGUAAUAUAAGUAGCUUCAAAACUAUAGAGCUCAGGUCUAUAAUGUUUAUUCAACAGCAGCUUCAUAUGUAACGUGUAGUAACUGAAUCAGAUUGUAUUAGCUUUAGGACAAACGUGGGCUUUAGAAGCUUACUUCCAAGCAAGAAGAAUCUUUAGAUCCUGUAAAGAGCUUGUGGGCACAAAUCAGUGGCAUUUGAAAUGCAAUUGAAAUGCAAAAGUAUUUAGGGAUUUUACCCAUUAUGAAGCUCUCCAAUAUAUUUUACAGAAAUAGUAUUUACUCUGCGUAGGUUUGUGCAAAUCUGUAUAUGAUCUUUAUCAAAUUCAUGACCUUUUCUUAAGUUUAUUUUAAAGCACUGUGAACACGAACCAUCUUUUUGCAGCAUACCUCAGUCUUCAUAUACAGAGAUCACUUCCAAAACAGAUAUGGUCUGGAGUUGGCCUCCCUCACUUUGUAAAUGUGGUCCUCUGUUCUUUGAGAUAUAUUGUCAAUUGUAGCAAUAGUUAAGAGUAGAUCCUUAACGCACUAAAAAGCAAACAGAUCUGGCUAAACAUAAGAACCAAAGCACCUGUAGCAAGAUCAUUUUAAAUUAUCAUAGUAUUUAACCAGACUGUAAUUGUAGAUUCAUUUAUAAAAAUAUUCUUAACACCAGAUUCCUAAAGUAUUAAUUGUCCUGUCAUUUCUAAUGUAAGUGGGAAUGCAGUAAGAGGAUGCACCUAAAAGGCAGCCGUGCUGGACACCAUGCUCCUGAUUUAGACACACACACGGUGUUCUCUGGAUCCACCUGUUAUGACUCGCGGUCUCUAAGUCUUUAUGACUACAUUCUAGAAAGCAGUGUGCCAAACUGAAAUGCCUUCCUACAUGGUCUGUGAUAACCGCUCAGGAAAGUACAAUACUUCUGGAAACAAGCUCCUUCUCAUCUGUGAGGCAGUGAAAGGACCCUAUUAAUCCUUUUUAUAGAAGCAGACGAGGGAAGGCAGCAGGCAGUGUGGCUCCUGAGCUGCUCUCCUAACGAACAGCCAGCACAACAAACGCUGCGGUGGGCUGAAGGCAUCAGGAAGCCGUCACUUACUCCAGCACCUGUGUAAUGGUGGGGAAGAAGGAGCAUCAAUCAGCUGGGAAGUUAUCAAAGACGGGAAGCAAGGCUGACAAACUUGCACUAGUUUUGGUUUUGGCAUCCUUUUUUUUCGCCCCUAUAAGUGAAAACCUGUUAAAACGUCAGCUUAAGCCACGCCAGUUUAGUUUUAUCCACCUCACCCCUUCAGCCCAGGCCUCUUACCAGGCUCUGCCAGCCCCCUUCCCCACACCGCCUCCGUCCUGCCAGCCUGCCCUAACGCUGCCCCUUGGCGCCGGGCUCCUGUAACCACUUCCAGCUCCGGCCGCGCUCUGUCGACAAAGCUAACUCUGCGCCGCUUCCUCGUUCGCAGCGAGGCACGUUUCAGCUCAAACCCUGCAGAGUUCCCUCUCCCAAGCAGCACACAGCCCCCCACCUCCUCCGCCUACCCCCUUCCUCCUUCCCUCGUACCCCGCGGCCCCAGCCCCAGCCCCGGC